rnacentral:rRNA from 1 species
CCUACGGGGGGCAGCAGUGGGGAAUAUUGGACAAUGGGCGAAAGCCUGAUCCAGCCAUGCCGCGUGUGUGAAGAAGGCCUUCGGGUUGUAAAGCACUUUCAGUGGGGAAGAAAGCCUUGGGGCUAAUACCCUCGAGGAAGGACAUCACCCACAGAAGAAGCACCGGCUAACUCCGUGCCAGCAGCCGCGGUAAUACGGAGGGUGCGAGCGUUAAUCGGAAUUACUGGGCGUAAAGCGCGCGUAGGCGGUCUGAUAAGCCGGUUGUGAAAGCCCCGGGCUCAACCUGGGAACGGCAUCCGGAACUGUCAGGCUAGAGUGCAGGAGAGGAAGGUAGAAUUCCCGGUGUAGCGGUGAAAUGCGUAGAGAUCGGGAGGAAUACCAGUGGCGAAGGCGGUCUUCUGGACUGACACUGACGCUGAGGUGCGAAAGCGUGGGUAGCAAACAGGAUUAGAUACCCCAGUAGUC